rnacentral:rRNA from 1 species
AGGAUUAACGCUGGCGGCGUGCCUAACACAUGCAAGUCGAACGAGGUAGCAAUACCUAGUGGCAGACGGGUGAGUAACGCGUGGUCAACCUACCCUUGAGUGGGGGAUAACUAGCCGAAAGGUUAGCUAAUACCGCAUACUUCGCCGAGAGGCAUCUCUUGGCGAUAAAAGGAGCAAUCCGCUCGAGGACGGGACCGCGUCCCAUUAGCUAGAUGGUGGGGUAACGGCCUACCAUGGCACCGAUGGGUAGCUGGUUUGAGAGAGCGACCAGCCACACUGGGACUGAGAAACGGCCCAGACUCCUACGGGAGGCAGCAGUGAGGAAUUUUCCGCAAUGGGCGAAAGCCUGACGGAGCGACGCCGCGUGUGGGAAGAAGGCCUUCGGGUCGUAAACCACUGUCGAAGGGGACGAUAAUGACGGUACCCUUGGAGGAAGCCCCGGCUAACUACGUGCCAGCAGCCGC